CUUAAUACAUUAAAACAGUUGAGAUGAGAAAACAUCUUUAAUAUUUUUUAUGACCACAAAUAAGGAAAUUUACGUCACAUGUUUAGUUAGCUUAAGUGCUGGAUAAUAAUGGUGAUAACGUUAAAAAUAACUCAUUAAAAUGGCGUGGUGAUUUAGGAAAGCACAUUCAUCAUCUACUAACAUGAAGGAGACCCAACAUCCGCACUUAUGAAGACCUAACAUCCGCAGAUAGAGAGCAAUUACUACCAUAAACUACGUAAAUUCUAAAUAAAGGUAUGUUGUAUACAUCAAGGACUUUUAAAUGAUAUCAGAGCAUCAUGUUCCGUAUGUACUUCGAUGAAAACUUUCAAUUAACAUUAAUAAAUAGUAUUUCAUGAAUAAA